rnacentral:lncRNA from 1 species
UCAACAGAUCAGUUUCAGAUCUUCAUGAACAUGAACAAAUAAAAAAAAACUAAAUUCAAGAAUAAGAACCCAUCAUCUGCACGUCAUCAUCUUCAAACCCUAAUCUUCAAGAACAAUCAUCAUCUUCAAGAACACUUCAAACCCAGAUUAGUGUUUGUGUUCGAAUGAAACCACCAAAUCCGAUUCGAAUCACAGAUCUGGGUGAUUCAGAUUCGUGUUUGUGUUCGAAUAAAAAAAAAACCUAAAUUCAAAAACAAGAACCCAUCAUCUGCACAUCAUCAUCUUCAAACCCUAAUCUUCAAGAACAAUCAUCAUCUUCAAGAACACUUCAAACACAGAUCUGGGUGAUUCAGAUUCGUUAAACCACCACCAUACACCCCCAAAUCCGAUUCUAAUCAUUGCACAUUCAGAUUCGUUAACAGAUCUGCAUCGACUUCUUAUUUAGAUGUGGGGGUUGUGGCUAUUGCGCGUGGGGUUGUGGGGAGCUGUGUGUGGUGGCGUGUGAGGGGUUGUGGCGGUGGCGGUUGGUGGGGGAUAUGAUGGUGGUUGGUGGCGGUGGUGGUGGUGAUGAGUAGAGAGAAGAAGAUCAGUGUUUGUGUCGAUGAU